rnacentral:rRNA from 1 species
UGAAGGCCCUGCAAAGCAGCAUCGCGGUGGCGGAGCGUCGUUUGCGACGCCCAACACACAAAACAAGCGGUGAGUGCUUUGGGGUGGGGUGACUGCGUACCUUUUGUAUAAUGGGUCAGCGACUUAUAUUCUGUAGCAAGGUUAACCGUAUAGGGGAGCCGAAGGGAAACCGAGUCUUAACUGGGCGUUAAGUUGCAGGGUAUAGACCCGAAACCCGGUGAUCUAGCCAUGGGCAGGUUGAAGGUUGGGUAACACUAACUGGAGGACCGAACCGACUAAUGUUGAAAAAUUAGCGGAUGACUUGUGGCUGGGGGUGAAAGGCCAAUCAAACCGGGAGAUAGCUGGUUCUCCCCGAAAGCUAUUUAGGUAGCGCCUCGUGAACUCAUCUUCGGGGGUAGAGCACUGUUUCGGCUAGGGGGUCAUCCCGACUUACCAACCCGAUGCAAACUGCGAAUACCGAAGAAUGUUAUCACGGGAGACACACGGCGGGUGCUAACGUCCGUCGUGAAGAGGGAAACAACCCAGACCGCCAGCUAAGGUCCCAAAGUCACAGUUAAGUGGGAAACGAUGUGGGAAGGCUCAGACAGCCAGGAUGUUGGCUUAGAAGCAGCCAUCAUUUAAAGAAAGCGUAAUAGCUCACUGGUCGAGUCGGCCUGCGCGGAAGAUGUAACGGGGCUAAACUGUGCACCGAAGCUGCGGCAGCGACGCUUAUGCGUUGUUGGGUAGGGGAGCGUUCUGUAAGCCUGCGAAGGUGUCCUGUGAGGGAUGCUGGAGGUAUCAGAAGUGCGAAUGCUGACAUAAGUAACGAUAA